rnacentral:lncRNA from 1 species
CUGUAGACAUACGGUGGUGGGGGAGAUUUGUAGUCUACCUUCGGGGAAGGUGAGUAGUAUGGUGGUGGUGGUGAGCUAUAGACGUACGGUGGUGGAGGAGAUUUGUAGUCUACUUUAGGGGAAGGUGAGUAGUAUGGUGGUGGUGGUGAGCUGUAGACGUACGGUGGUGGGGGAGAUUUGUAGUCUACCUUAGGGGAAGGUGAGUAGUAUGGUGGUGGUGGUGAGCUGUAGACGUACGGUGGUGGGGGAGACUUGUAAACUACUUUAGGAGAAGGAGAGUAGUAUGGUGGUGGUGGUGAGCUGUAGACGUACGGUGGUGGGGGAGACUUGUAGACUACCUUAGGAGAAGGAGAGUAGUAUGGUGGUGGUGGAGAACUGUAGACAUACGGUGGUGGAGGAGACUUGUAGACUACCUUAGGAGAAGGAGAAUAAUAUGGUGGUGGUGGAGAACUGUAAACGUAUGGUGGUGGGGGAGACUUGUAGACUACCUUAGGAGAAGGAGAGUAGUAUGGUGGUGGUGGAGAACUGUAGACAUACGGUGGUGGGGGAGACUUGUAGACUACCUUAGGAGAAGGAGAAUAGUAUGGAGGUGGUGGAGAACUGUAAACAUACGGUGGUGGGGGAGACUUGUAGACUACCUUAGGAGAAGGAGAGUAGUAUGGUGGUGGUGGAGAACUAUAGACAUACGGUGGUGGGGGAGACUUGUAGUGUACCUUAGGGGAAGGAGAGUAAUAUGGUGGUGGUGGAGAACUGUAGACAUACGGUGGUGGGGGAGACUUGUAGUGUACCUUAGGAGAAGGAGAGUGAUAUGGUGGUGGUGGAGAACUGUAAACGUACGGUGGUGGGGAGGACUUGUACACAACCUUUGGAGAUGGAGAAUAACAUGGAGGAGGUGGUGGACAGACACAUACAUGAGGGUGUGGUGGAGAUUUGUAUAGAACCUUAGGGGAUGGUGCGUGGUAUGGUGAUGGAGGAGACUUGUAGUAUACUUUAGGAGAAGGGGAGUAGUAUGGUGGUGGUGGAGAACUGUAAACGUAUGGUGGUGGGGGAGACUUGUAGACUACCUUAGGAGAAGGAGAGUAGUAUGGUGGUGGUGGAGAACUGUAGACAUACGGUGGUGGGGGAGACUUGUAGACUACCUUAGGAGAAGGAGAGUAGUAUGGAGGUGGUGGAGAACUGUAAACAUACGGUGGUGGGGGAGACUUGUAGACUACCUUAGGAGAAGGAGAGUAGUAUGGUGGUGGUGGAGAACUGUAGACAUACGGUGGUGGGGGAGACUUGUAUAAAACCUUUGGUGAAGGAGAGUAGUACGGUGGUGGUGGAGAACUGUAAACAUAUGGUGGUGGAGGAGACUUGUAGUCUACCUUAGGGGAUG